rnacentral:rRNA from 1 species
GUGAUUGGAGGAAAGCAGGGGAUCGCAAGACCUUGCGCUUUUGGAGUGGCCGAUGCCUGAUUAGCUAGUUGGUAGGGUAAUGGCUUACCAAGGCGACGAUCAGUAGUUGGUCUGAGAGGACGACCAGCCACACUGGGACUGAGACACGGCCCAGACUCCUACGGGAGGCAGCAGUGGGGAAUUUUGGACAAUGGGCGAAAGCCUGAUCCAGCAAUGCCGCGUGAGUGAAGAAGGCCUUCGGGUUGUAAAGCUCUUUCAGUCGAGAAGAAAAGGUUGUGACUAAUAAUCACAACUCAUGACGGUAUCGACAGAAGAAGCACCGGCUAACUACGUGCCAGCAGCCGCGGUAAUACGUAGGGUGCGAAGCGUUAAUCGGAAUUACUGGGCGUAAAGGGUGCGCAGGCGGCUUUGUAAGUCAGAUGUGA